AUUGAACGCUGGCGGCAUGCUUUACACAUGCAAGUCGAACGGUAACAGGUUAAGCUGACGAGUGGCGAACGGGUGAGUAAUGCAUCGGAACGUGCCCGAUCGUGGGGGAUAACGCAGCGAAAGCUGCGCUAAUACCGCAUACGAUCUGAGGAUGAAAGCGGGGGACCGUAAGGCCUCGCGCGAUCGGAGCGGCCGAUGUCAGAUUAGGUAGUUGGUGGGGUAAAGGCUCACCAAGCCAACGAUCUGUAGCUGGUCUGAGAGGACGACCAGCCAAACUGGGAAUGAGACACGGCCCAGACUCCUAAGGGAGGCAGCAGUGGGGAAUUUUGGACGAUGGGCGAAAGCCUGAUCCAGCAAUGCCGCGUGCAGGAAGAAGGCCUUCGGGUUGUAAACUGCUUUUGUACGGAGCGAAAAGGCUCUCUCUAAUACAGGGGGCUCAUGGCGGUACCGUAAGAAUAAGCACCGGCUAACUACGUGCCAGCCGCCGCCGUAA
rnacentral:rRNA from 1 species